rnacentral:ncRNA from 1 species
UAUCUUUGGGGAAUGGUGAAAUUCCAUACCGGUGGUAAAGCCCACGAACUCGCAAGAGCCGAGCAGGUGAGAUUCCUGCGCCGACGGUAAAGUCCGGAUGAGAGAAGGU